rnacentral:SRP_RNA from 1 species
GCUGGGUGUUGUGGCGCACACCUGUAGUUCCAGCUACUCAGGAGGCUGAGGCAGGAGAAUCGCUUGAACCCAGGAGGAGGAGGUUGCAGUGAGCUGAGAUUGUGCCACUGUACUCCAGCCUGGGUGACAGAGCGAAACCCUGUCUCAA